rnacentral:lncRNA from 1 species
GGUUAAACAAACUGCUACAUCCUUUUAACAAAAUACUUCUCAGCAAUAUAUAUAUAAAAAAAAAAAUGACUGAUAUAUGCAACACUUGUAUGAAUCUUAAAAGCUUAGUUCUAAGUAACAGAAAUCAGCUACAAUAGGUUACAUAUCUGUGACUUCAUUUACAUGACAUUUCGUGAAAGGCAAAAUAUAGGAACGGAAAUCAGAUCAGUGGUUGCCAAGAGCUGGAAGUGGAGACAGGGAUGACCUCAAAGGGGUGGUACGGAACUUUGGAACUUUGGAACACCCACUUCUGAGGUGGGUGUUCUAUAUCUUGAUUGUGGUAGUGAUGGUUACUCAAGUCUAUGCAGUCGUUAAAAUCUAUCAAAUUAUACACUUAAAACUGGUGAAUUUUACUCUAUGUAAAUUAUACCUCACUAAAGCUGAUUUUUAAACAAUUCUUGCAAUGUUUCGCAUUUCCCUCAGCGUGAAUGACUCUGUAAGCCAACAGGCCCUUCAGGAUCUGAACCCACCACCACCCUCUCUCUGACCUUAUCCCUGGUCACUCUCCUUACACUUUGCUGCAGCUAACAGAGCCUCCUAGAUAUGAAGUCUUCUCAGACUGUGCAGAGAUGGUUCUUGCCAUGUUGUGCUGGCUGGACUCGAACUCCUGGAUUCAAGCAAUCCUCCUGCGGACUCAGAUGAUCCUUCUGCCUCAGCUUCCUGAGUAGCUGGGGUAAAGCUUAUAAAGUAAAAACUUUGAUAUCCCCAGCAGAAUCAUAACUUUUCACAGAGGCAUCUAAUUUCUUAACCUUAAAGCAGAAGAGAAACGUCUUUCAAAUUUUCCUAUGACGGUCAAGGAGUGGGGGUUGUGGAAUGUAUAUACUUAGAUGAAUUAAACUCAGACCUUCUCCGGUUGGAUGUUUGAGCCGCCCAGACAAAGAUGAAGAUUAACACAGUUUAAGGAUGAAAUAUAGACCAUCCUGUGCAAAACCACCGUGUUGCAGUUUAAUUAAAAGAAUUCAUUAAAGUGGUGCCCCAUCCAGGGUAAUUAGUAUGCGUAAUUUAUGCGUUGCCUAAUACACA